rnacentral:lncRNA from 1 species
ACUUUUUAUUGAAAGUUUUUUUGUUCUGAAAACAGCAGCUUGGUCAUAUUAUGACAGAUGUGUUUUUUAUUGCUGCAAAAUAGUUAAUGUAGUUAAAUAUAAGCACUUAGAGGAGCAAUGCCUGGCACACAGUGAAUGUUACAUAUUAGCUGAGCUGUUACUGUUAUUCCUUAAUAAUUAAGUUCUGAUAAUUAUUCAGUCUGAAAAUUAAAAAAAAAAUUAGCACAAGGCUUUGUAGGUAAGACCAUUAUAGAUCUUUCUAAAUAUUUAAGGUUUGUUUUGUGUCACCAUUAGGUGUAGAUGGUCAGCCUUUUGAACAAACUGACACUACAGAAGAGGCAGGUUUCAGCUAUCUAAAAAUGGCAACUGUUAAAAAGUAGUUGGGAUUGCUACAUUAGGGUGGUAUCAUUAGAAGUGUUUAAAAGUUGAGUGUAGAGGCUGGGUGCGGUGGCUCACAUCUGUAAUCCCAGCACGUUAGGAGGCCGAGGCGGGCAGAUCACAAGAUCAGGAGAUCGAGAUCAUUCCUGGCUAACACGGUGAAACCCCGUCUCUACUAAAAAUACAAAAAAAACUCUACUAAAACUACAAAAUUAGCCAGACAUGGUGGCAGGUGCCUGUAAUCCCAGCUACAUGGGAAGCUGAGGCAGGAGAAUUGCUUGAACCUGCACGGCAGAGGUUGCAGUGAGUUCACUGGUAUUAAGGUGGUUUAGUUAUUACAGUAUUUGGAAGUUGAACAAAUGACUCUUGAGGUACCAUUUGGUUUUGACUUGAAAUUUUAGCCAGUUCUUACAACUUGUAAAUGAACUUUAGAUCUAAUCAUGCGUGUUCCUUAAAGUUGUGUGCUUUUAACUUUCUUUUUUAGGGCAGCGGUCUUAAUUGUUUUUAUGAUCAACAAGAAUACAUAGGGAGAAGUGUUCAUUAUUGGAAGAAAGUUUUGCCAUUGUUGAAGAUAAUAAAGAAGAACAGUAUUCCUGAACCUAUUGAUCCUCUGUUUAAACAUUUUCAUAGUGUAGACAUUCAGGCAUCAGAAAUUGUUGAAUAUGAAGAAGACGCACACAUAACUUUUGCUAUAUUGGAUGCAGUACAUGGAAAUAUAAAAGAUGCUGUGACUGCUUUUGAAUCUAUACAAAGUGUUGUUUCUUAUUGGAAUCUUGCACUGAUUUUUCACAGGAAGGCAGAAGACAUUGAAAAUGAUGCCGUUUUUCCUGAAGAACAAGAAGAAUGCAAAAAUUAUCUCAGAAAGACCAGGGACUACCUAAUAAAGAUUAUAGAUGACAGUGAUUCAAAUCUUUCAGUGGUCAAGAAAGUAAGUAGCAGGUUGUUGUAUGUACGUUCUUACUGAUAACCCACUGGUCAAUGUUUUUGCGUUGGUCUUAUACUUUGGUAAUUUCAAAAAUACUCAGUAAUAUGUUGUUAUUAAUGCACAGAAGGGAUGUGUGUAUCUAAAUGCUUAUAUUUGCUUGCUUUGUCUUAGGUUUGGUGUGUCUUUUUAAACUUGGGAAUCUAGGUAUAUGCUCUUAAAAAGUACUUCUUGGGGAAUUAGAAAAGAUUUCUAAGAUAAGACAUUGAUUUUGUUAUCUUAGCAGUGUAAUCAAAACAAAUAUUAUAACCUC